UACGUAGGGGGCUAGCGUUGUCCGGAAUCAUUGGGCGUAAAGAGCGUGUAGGCGGUCCGGUAAGUCCGUUGUGAAAGUCAAAGGCUCAACCUUUGAAUGUCAGUGGAUACUGCCGGGCUAGAGUCCGGAAGAGGCGAGUGGAACUCCUGGUGUAGCGGUGGAAUGCGCAGAUAUCAGGAAGAACACCAACGGCGAAGGCAGCUCGCUGGGACGGUACUGACGCUGAGACGCGAAAGCGUGGGGGAGCGAACAGG
rnacentral:rRNA from 1 species